GGCAGCCGAGGCCACGGGCAGGCAGAACAGCGCUCUAAACUGUAGGCCUGCCAGGCAGCAGCGUUCCCAAGGGCUCCCAGGACCUUCAACCAGAAAGAGAGAGUGAGCAUAUGCGCAUGUGUAUGUCUGCGCCCGUGCAGGGAGGAGGGGUGUGAACAGACACUGCUGGACAGAUGGCUGGAGUUUAGUCCCUUCCUUCGGGACUCUCCACCACUCCGGCUUCCCUUCUCCUGCCCAGCCCUGUCCUGGGUGCACAGAGAGGGAAGUCACUCCAUUCCUGCCCUUGAGGAGCUCCCAGACCCGGGGCAGGAGCGGGAUGCAGACAACUAGACAGCAUCCUGGGCCAUGCAAGGAAUGUACUACAGAGCCAAUUUUACUGGCAAAGGAGGAAUGGAGGAUCUGAAAGGCUAGGGGAUCCCACAGGCAGUGGGGAGCAGGUCUGGAAUUUGAACCAAUCGGCAUGAUUCCCACGCUCAAGCUUUUGGCCACCGUCCGCACUGCCAGGGACAGAAAAAAAAACCUGGGAGGAGAGCCAAGCCAAGCUGGGGAGUCAGGACCUCCCAGCCAGGUCUGGAUGGGAGGUAGGUGCCUCCACCCUGGUCCCAGAGCAAGUUCUGCUGGCUUCAGCCACCUGACUUGCCUGUGAAGUUGGGCAAAGAGGCCAGAGCAGACUGUGUGUGAUUCUGGCCCCACCCCCAGCACCUCUACCCCCACCUUUCCUACCCCUAGGCUGCGGGAAGAGGCUUUGCCCAGCAAUAGUCCUGAUCUGAUGGCUGCUUGAAGCACAAUAAACAGAUAGUAUUUCUGCACAUGUCACUCUGAGUAUGAGGGCAGUAAUCUUGAAACUCCCCGUGACCACCUGGCACUCUGGAGAUGGAACUCCGCAGCCUGUUUUCAAAGCCAGUUCCUGGUUGGAAGCUCCUCUUCAAGUCUAACAGAAGUAAGCAGUGCUGCAGUCUCCCUUCAACUGUGCAGUGGCUGGGUGGAGGCUUUUCUUUCCUGCCUGAGUUUGGGUAUUAUCUCUAAUGUAACCCUAUGAAACUUACACGUUUUAGGUGGGAGAGGGGAAAACAAGGUGCAAGCCCUGUUCCAGGAAGAGCAAAAAUGUCUUCAACAGUAAGACAUCCUGGUCUGAGAGCCAGGGCUUGGGGCAGCCUGUGGUGCUGGCAGAGAGCUGGUGGAAGGGACCACGGAGAGAUGAUGCCACACACAGAAGUGAGACCAAUGAGAUCGUGGGAACUGCCCGGCCAAGGGCUGGCAUCAAGGAAGCUUGGGAGUCAGGGGACAGCUGGGAAGGGAACAACCAACAGAACCAGCUGAAAACUGAAAAGGGAUGCAAGGGAGAAAGAGGAGGUGGGCGCUGAGCUCAGGUGGAGGAGGAGGAAGGGAGACAGGACAGAGAGAGGCAGAAGAUAAGACAAAAACAGGCGGAGAGACCGAGAAACAGGGAGACAGAGAUGGAUAGAGGCUGGGAAAGACAAAGAGGAGAAAGACCUGGGCAGGAGAGGUCCUAUGUGUGGAGAAAAGGUUGGGAAGAGAGCAGGAAAGAGAGAAGGAGCACAGGGCUUUGGGGGUUCCCACCGGACCCAGCCCACCCCUCCUGCAGGCUGGGUCUCUCCCUUGUCCACCACUUACGGAGCUCAGGAUCCUCUCCCUCAGUGCUAGGGGCGGAGAGCUCGCCUCCAGCCCCGCCCUAGUCCGGAGGCUCCCCCUCCCCAGGCCCUCGGAGGCCGCCCCUGAGACUGGCUGUGCAGCGAUAGAUGGUGGGGGCCCAGCUGGUGCGUUAUCAGCCUUCUCCAGGAGCGCGCCUGAGCCACUCCGUGGCUGCCUGUCUGAGAUUAGGCCCCCUGAGGGUCAUUAAGCGCCACCCUGGCCUGGGCCCAGCCUCCUUUGCCUCCUCGAUCUGGCCAGGCUGGCAGGUGGGAAUGAGCGAUAAGGAUUGGGGGUCUCAGCGGUUCUGGGGCCAGCAGCUUCCUGCUCCCAGCCCCCGAUCGGGGCAGGAACAUGGGGUGUGGGUGAGGGGCUGUAAGGUCAGUGCUGGCCCAGCCCCUGCAGGAGCCCUGUGGGUUCCCACUCUCUUAGAUCUGCCCAUAUUGAGCAAGACAGAAUGAGAAGGGGGACAAGGAGGCUCUUAGAGAGGCCCCAGACAGCUGAUGGGGAGCAAGGGACAACUGACGGCAGAGCUGGGAGGAAAUGUGGCCUCAUGAAAGGAGAAUCAGAUCCGGCAGCCAGAAGCUUCCCACCAGGGGGCAGGAAAGGAAGAGGGGGCUGUGUGUGCCCUAGCGGAGGCCUGACCCUCUAGGAACCUCUGUCUCUCCUUCAGUGAGUGGAGAAGCGGGGCUGGCUGCUGGCCUGGCUUUGCCCUCUGGUCUAAUCAAGGAAGACUUCCCAGAAGAGGAGGAACCUUGGCUGGGUCAAGAAAAAACAAUGGGCAGAGUUUAAACGGGCAGAGGUGGGGUGAAAAGGCAUGAGUCACAGAAAGCCACGUAAGCAAAAGCCUAGAGUAGAAAUCACAAGCUGUAGUUCAUUAAGUUGAAGCCCUGAGAGGGGAGGUGACUUGUCUCAAGACACACAGAAAGGCAGGGAUAGGCCUGCAGCAAAGCUGCUGCUCCCCCACCCCCAGGCCUCUUCCCUCUGCUACUGUCUGCAUCCUAAACCCAAUGAGGUGAGAAGAGAUUAUUUCCAUUUAAGAUGAGUCUUCCCCAGUGGUACUUGGUGAAGCCUUAGAAUAGCAAAAGAAUGGUCAUAACAUGGAACAAGGGGGCUGUGACACGUUGAGGCGAGUGGCAAAGGGAGACCUUUGGGACAAGGUGGAUGGCCUCCUACCUUCUGGCCCCACUUCUCUGGAUCUGGGAAUUAUCCUGGGUGAGUCCAUCUCAGAUUAUCACCCAGGACAGAGACAGAAGCUGUUCCCAUAAGGCCAACAGUCACAGAGGUGAGGGGCCUCCAGGUUCCGCCAGCCAGGCAAGGCAUGCCUCCCCUCUGCCCUGCUCCUACUAGGACCCAGUUUCCUGAUCCUCCCGUCCCUACCCCGACUCCCACUCCAGGACUGGGCGUUGGGCGAGGCAGGCAUAGGCAAGGACUGGGCUGUCCUCCAGCUCUGCCGUGAGACUGGCCAAAUCUUCCAUGGAGAGAAAGCUCAGCUCAGAGAGGACAGCAGCUUUCCCAAGCUCACACACAAGUUGGCAGAGGACCCAGGACUCACAUCUGGGCUUCCUGAGUCUCAACCCAAGACUCCUUCCUGACACUUCCUAUGCCAGAGCCAGCACAGAGGGCCACCAGAGGGAGACAGACUAGAUCUGUGGGAACCCACCGUGACACCUCCAGCACAGAGGCAAAGGGUGAACGGCACUGUGCAAGGAAAAGCCCAGAGCCUCAGGGAUGAAGGGUGCUUUGGGGGCGGGGACUGGAGCAAGGGUAGAGUGGGUGAGCUCCCCGGCCCAUGGGCCUCUGACAUCCUCUUCCUUCCCUGCAUACAUGAAACUGAUCAGCACUGGGGGCACCUAGCUCAUAUCAGGGUCUGCCCUGCCCUGCCCUGCCCUGGGAAGCCGUGCCCGGCGGCUCUGGUUGAAGAAAGGGUUUGGCCUGAGGGGACAAGAAACACCCCACUGGCAGAAAUGGGCUCACCUGUCCUGGUCUUCCUGCCUCCCAAUUCUCCCACGUGUCAUCAGACACUCCCAUUUGAGGGUGCUUCACUCUCAAACACCAGAAAAGGCACCAACCCUCUCUUACCCUCACCCUGGCCACACACUCUCAGUCCCUCCCCAGCCUGGGCCCCCUCGGUCCCA